GCCGGGGUACGCAAAUUGGAAAAGCGGCCCGCCUCAAGAUUGGGCGUUUGUCGGUUCGACUCCGAUCCCCGGCA
rnacentral:tRNA from 1 species